rnacentral:rRNA from 1 species
GUGGGUGAUCUGCCCUGCACUCUGGGAUAAGCCUGGGAAACUGGGUCUAAUACUGGAUAUGACCUCAGCAUGCAUGUGCUGGGGUGGAAAGCUUUUGUGGUGCAGGAUGGGCCCGCGGCCUAUCAGCUUGUUGGUGGGGUAAUGGCCUACCAAGGCGACGACGGGUAGCCGACCUGAGAGGGUGACCGGCCACACUGGGACUGAGACACGGCCCAGACUCCUACGGGAGGCAGCAGUGGGGAAUAUUGCACAAUGGGCGGAAGCCUGAUGCAGCGACGCCGCGUGAGGGAUGAAGGCCUUCGGGUUGUAAACCUCUUUCAGCAGGGACGAAGCGUGAGUGACGGUACCUGCAGAAGAAGCACCGGCUAACUACGUGCCAGCAGCCGCGGUAAUACGUAGGGUGCGAGCGUUGUCC